rnacentral:snRNA from 2 species
AGCCACGCAGUGAGCACAGAGUGAACUAUUCUUUUGCUUUUUACUAAAGAAUAAUGUGUACACCCUCCAAAUAGUGGCAUAUGCCUAUUUUUGAAUGAUUCCAUAGUCAUU